rnacentral:rRNA from 1 species
GAUGAACGCUGGCGGCGUGCCUAAUACAUGCAAGUCGAGCGAACAGACGAGGAGCUUGCUCCUCUGACGUUAGCGGCGGACGGGUGAGUAACACGUGGAUAACCUACCUAUAAGACUGGGAUAACUUCGGGAAACCGGAGCUAAUACCGGAUAAUAUAUUGAACCGCAUGGUUCAAUAGUGAAAGGCGGUUUUGCUGUCACUUAUAGAUGGAUCCGCGCCGCAUUAGCUAGUUGGUAAGGUAACGGCUUACCAAGGCAACGAUGCGUAGCCGACCUGAGAGGGUGAUCGGCCACACUGGAACUGAGACACGGUCCAGACUCCUACGGGAGGCAGCAGUAGGGAAUCUUCCGCAAUGGGCGAAAGCCUGACGGAGCAACGCCGCGUGAGUGAUGAAGGUCUUCGGAUCGUAAAACUCUGUUAUUAGGGAAGAACAAAUGUGUAAGUAUCUAUGCACGUCUUGACGGUACCUAAUCAGAAAGCCACGGCUAACUACGUG